rnacentral:rRNA from 1 species
UACGUAGGGUGCGAGCGUUGUCCGGAAUUAUUGGGCGUAAAGAGCUUGUAGGCGGUUUGUCGCGUCUGCUGUGAAAAUCCGGGGCUCAACCUCGGACUUGCAGUGGGUACGGGCAGGCUAGAGUGUGGUAGGGGAGACUGAAAUUCCUGGUGUAGCGGUGAAAUGCGCAGAUAUCAGGAGGAACACCGAUGGCGAAGGCAGGUCUCUGGGCCACUACUGACGCUGAGAAGCGAAAGCAUGGGGAGCGAACAGG